GACGAACGCUGGCGGCGUGCUUAAUACAUGCAAGUCGAACGGAAAUUCCCUGCGUUUGCUGUGUGCUCGUUAGGCGAACGGGUGUGAAUCACGCGAGUAAACCCUCCCUGACUGUGGGGGAACUCUAGGAAACAGGGGCUAAUAUCGGAUAGGAUCUCUUGCUUCAUGGGGGGGGUUGUAAAGAUUCGGCGGUUGGGGCCGUUCGCGCGGGUGAUCAGCUUGUUGGUGGGGUAGUGGCUUAUAAAGGCUUUGACGGGUAGCCGGCCUGAGAGGGUGACCGGCCACAUUGGGACUCGGAAAGCAGCCGUACGGCUUCGGGAGGCAGCAGUGGGAAAUUUUGCGAGAUAGGCGGAGGCCUGAUGGAGCAACUCCGGGUGCGAGAUGACGGCCUUCAGGGUAUAAACCGCAUUCGCCUGUGACGAAGCGUGCGUGACGGUACUUGGUAAAAAAGCAACGGCUAACUACGUG
rnacentral:rRNA from 1 species